CAGGAUCUUAUCGGAUUUCGAGAACGGGACCGUUGGUUGUGAGUCUUAUUGGAAAGGAUAAUCAAAGGGUACAAGAGGCUGCUUUGAAGCUGUCAGGUAGCUUUGAAGGACAAUUUUCCCAGGUUGACGGUUGCAAAUAGGCUGUCAAAGUCUACACACCUCCAUAUUCCUCCCACAUUCUUUCUGCUCGAAGUUCUGAAAUUGUGCAGAUCUAACUGUGCAAUGCGGUGCUCAGAUGCCUUAAACCACCCAGCUACCACUCUGAAGCCCCAGAAAUUGUUUAGGAAACAUACAAAUUUUGUAUUUCUACCCAUUUAGAAAUGAAUUGACAAGUGCAGAUGCUGAGGGCUUCGGCUAGUAACAACUUAACAUGGGUAGCUUUGCCGGCUAUUUUGACUGGGCUAAGAAACACUGUUAUUUUGUGGAAAAUUAAUUGAAGUUGAUUAUAGCA